GGUGUGCCAGUUGUUCUUACAAGAGCAGCGCUGGGUAACUAUGUUUCCAACGGAUAACCGCUGAAAGCAUCUAAGUGGGAAGCCGCCUCCAAGAUUAGAUUUCUAUCCCGUACCACUUUGCUCAUCAGGUAAAGUUUAAACUUUAUUUAGGUUUAACCUUGCUUGGUUGGUAAAGUGGUGCGGGAGUAAACCCCUUGUAGACUACAAGGUUGAUAGGCAGGCAGUGGAAGAACCGUAAGGUUUUAAGCUUACCUGUACUAAUGGUUGAACGAGUAGAUUUA
rfam:Candidatus Levybacteria bacterium RIFCSPLOWO2_01_FTLL_39_24 rifcsplowo2_01_scaffold_1180, whole genome shotgun sequence.